CAUGGAGGGAGACUAGUGCCUAGUAUUUGCGGUGCCUGAAAACUUUCUUAAGAAGCAGUUGUUUUGCUGGCCUCCUAGGACAUCCAGGAGCUGGUCCUGUCAUCUUCCAGGUAUUCAUAUGCUCAGCUAAAUGUACAUAACUGUAAAUCAACACUAAGAGCACCGGAUGGUUAAGGUCAAGGAGAUUCUCACAAAGGAUCCAGAGUUCCAAUAUUUGAAAAUGGGAAAAAAAAGAAAAAAAAGAAAAAAAAAAGAAUGAGUUCUUCUCUGGUAAAAUUCCAG
rnacentral:lncRNA from 1 species